AAAGUCCGAGUUGUAAUUUGAAGAAGGUAUCUUUGGGUCUGGCUCUUGUCUAUGUUUCUUGGAACAGAACGUCACAGAGGGUGAGAAUCCCGUGCGAUGAGAUGAUCCAGGCCUAUGUAAAGUUCCUUCGAAGAGUCGAGUUGUUUGGGAAUGCAGCUCUAAGUGGGUGGUAAAUUCCAUCUAAAGCUAAAUAUUGGCGAGAGACCGAUAGCGAACAAGUACAGUGAUGGAAAGAUGAAAAGAACUUUGAAAAGAGAGUGAAAAAGUACGUGAAAUUGUUGAAAGGGAAGGGCUUGAGAUCAGACUUGGUAUUUUGUAUGUUACUUCUUCGGGGGUGGCCUCUACAGUUUAUCGGGCCAGCAUCAGUUUGGGCGGUAGGAGAAUUGCGUUGGAAUGUGGCACGGCUUCGGUUGUGUGUUAUAGCCUUCGUCGAUACUGCCAGCCUAGACUGAGGACUGCGGUUUAUACCUAGGAUGUUGGCAUAAUGAUCUUAAGUCGCCCGUCUUG
rnacentral:rRNA from 1 species